AUGAAGAUAUCACUGAUUCUACUGCUGCUCACCCUGGGGCUCCUUGUUCAGGGUUCAUCAGGAGACAUCAUCCUGACUCAGUCUCCUGGAUCUCAGUCUGUUGUUUCAGGACAGACUGUCUCUAUCACAUGUAAAGCCAGUUCAACUGCUGGUACUUGUCUUAGCUGGUACCUUCAGAAAUCUGGACAACCUCCUACACUCUUGAUUUAUCUUUCUACAAGUCGUCAGUCUGGAGUUGCAGGUCGUUUCAGUGGGAGUGGAUCUGGAACUGACUUCACUCUGACCAUCAGUGGAGUUCAGACUGAAGAUGCAGGAGAUUACUAUUGUCAGCACUGUAACGGCUACCCGUUCACACAGUGUUACAACGCCGUACAAAAACCUCCCUCAUAUAAAGAGGAACUGAUCUGACUCUACAGCUGCACAUUAACUACAACACAACAUGACGAAUAACAGAAUAUCAGUUUAAUCCUGAAAACAUUUAAUUUUUUUUUUAAUUUUAGUUGUAGGACGGUUUUUUUUUUGUAUGGUUGGUGAAUAUAAGUUUGCUGAAAGUUCUAAUCACAUGUAUAAUUCCUGCUACUAUAAUUCAAAAGUGUAAUUAUAAUUAUAAUAUUUAAGUUUCAUGUUUA